rnacentral:misc_RNA from 1 species
UUGGGAUUCCUAAUCCUAGUACUACUAGUUAUUAUACUAUAAACGCCUAUGUCAUCUAGGUAUUUUAGUAGAAUUUAUUAUGAUUAUUAUUGAUGAUUGAAAAUUAAUAAGAAUUUUGAGAAUUUUAUUAAUUUCCCCUUUGAUUGUUCUAUUGGUUAUACAUCAGAAUGCCUCCUCCUCAAGGAGACUGGAUCUGAGUUAUCGUAGGCUAGACGAAGAAAUAAUUCGACUUAAAUUUUAGAAGUGGAAAUUCUGCCUUCUUUUUUUCUUAGGAGUAUAAAUUUUGAAGUGAUAUGAUGAAUUAAUAAUAAGCUUAUUAUUUUGCUGUGUCUCAAGUCUCAACAUAAUAGGUUCCAUUUCCAUCAUAUCCAGUGUUGACUUGAUUUAUCUUCCAUAUCUAACAUUUAAGUUUGUUGAAGUUAAAUCCAAGGUCUGAAUUUGCAAUUUAUUUCAAAAAAGAAUUUUAGAGCUUAGUUAUCAAAUUAGAAUUUUAGAGCUUAGUUAUCAAAUUAGUUAUCUGUCACAUGCUUGUAGUAGUUUCAGAUCUUAUUAAUUGUGAAUCAAGAGGAGUAGUAUUUCUUGUUCAUGUUAUCUUCCUUAAAUGGUCUAGUUUCCUGCUUAAGGUGUUCUUUACCCUAUCAGGUUUCAGUUUCUUGUUUCCUUACGUCUGCCCCAGAAAGAAUGAAAUCAAUUUUGUAUGCUGCUGUGCGCACUGCAGAUUGCUAGAUGACUAACAGUUUAUGAUAUUGUCAACUGUGGUUGAUUUGUGGUGGUGUAAAAAGUAUAGUUUAUUAAUGGCGGUCAUUCCACUUGUUAGGACGUGUGAAAGUUAACUAGUUCUCCUCUCAGGAUUUUUUUACAACAAUUUAGAAGCUAAACGUUUGAUAUUUAUUAUCAUGUUCUUUCAGUCACAUGAACAGAGUGAUAGGGUGCAUUAUUGUUCGCUUCUCAGGUCAUGGACUAUUCUGAAAGGAAAAAAUUAUCAUCAUUAGUUACUGGGCACUUUGCUUUUGAAUCAUGCCAGAAGGGUGACAGGAAUUAAUGCUAUUUUGGAGAGAGAGAAAGAGAGGGUGCGAGCAGAAACUAGUUAGCUGGUUCUCAAGCUCUUGCCAUGGGCAGCAUUUUGUUGUUUUCUUUUCUGUAAUACCCAUUCUACUUUAUUUAUGGAAAAGCCCGUGGCCUUGUUUGGUUGGGUUUGUAUUACUAAACCAACUUUCCGAUCAAGGGAAGCAGCUUAUCUAAGUAGAACUUGAUAAGUUGCACUCCCCAGUUAAAUGUAAUGAACUUACUAAUUUUUGCUUUAAUUUGUUACACUUUAAAUUAUAUUAUGGGUGUUGUUGUCUUUGUAACUUAUGAGCAACUUUUACUUUUUUGAAAGUUAAUUUGUAUAAUAAACACAUUUAUAUCUUAUUUAAUAGUAAGUAAGUUUCCUGGAAGUGUACUUGACCAAAAAUAUGCUUCUUAGGAAGUAUAGCAUUUUGAACAAAAUGAGACCUUGGGAGAAAACAACUUAGGUUAACUC